GACGAACGCUGGCGGCGUGCCUAAUACAUGCAAGUAGAACGCACAGUUUAUACCGUAGCUUGCUACACCAUAGACUGUGAGUUGCGAACGAGUGAGUAACGCGUAGGUAACCUGCCUGGUAGCGGGGGGUAACUACUGGAAACGAUAGCUAAUACCGCAUAAUAUUAAUUAUUGCAUGAUAAUUAAUUGAAAGGUGCAAUUGCACCACUACCAGAUGGACCUGCGUUGUAUUAGCUAGUUGGAAAGGUAACGGCUCACCAAGGCAACGAUGCAUAGCCGACCUGGGAGGGUGUUCGGCCACACGGGACCGGGACACGGGCCAAACUCCCAAGGGGGGGAGCAAUAAGGGAAUCUUGGGCAUAGGGGGAAGGCUUGACGGGCAAACGCGGGUGGAGUAAUGAGGUUUUCGGGUUGGAAAGCCCCGUUGUAAGGGAAGGAAGAAAUGUGGAGUGAAAAAUGCACGCUGUGACGGUAUCUUAUCAGAAAGCGACGGCUAACUACGUG
rnacentral:rRNA from 1 species